AUACAUGCAAGUCGAGCGAGACUCUUCGGAGUCUAGCGGCGGACGGGUGAGUAACACGUGGGCAACCUGCCUGUAAGACUGGGAUAACACCGGGAAACCGGUGCUAAUACCGGAUAAUCCUUUUCCUCUCAUGAGGAAAAGCUGAAAGUCGGUUUCGGCUGACACUUACAGAUGGGCCCGCGGCGCAUUAGCUAGUUGGUGAGGUAACGGCUCACCAAGGCGACGAUGCGUAGCCGACCUGAGAGGGUGAUCGGCCACACUGGGACUGAGACACGGCCCAGACUCCUACGGGAGGCAGCAGUAGGGAAUCUUCCACAAUGGACGAAAGUCUGAUGGAGCAACGCCGCGUGAGCGAUGAAGGCCUUCGGGUCGUAAAGCUCUGUUGUUAGGGAAGAACAAGUACCGGAGUAACUGCCGGUACCUUGACGGUACCUAACCAGAAAGCCACGGCUAACUACGUGCCAGCAGCCGCGGUAAUACGUAGGUGGCAAGCGUUGUCCGGAAUUAUUGGGCGUAAAGCGCGCGCAGGCGGUCCUUUAAGUCUGAUGUGAAAGCCCACGGCUCAACCGUGGAGGGUCAUUGGAAACUGGGGGACUUGAGUGCAGAAGAGGAAAGCGGAAUUCCACGUGUAGCGGUGAAAUGCGUAGAGAUGUGGAGGAACACCAGUGGCGAAGGCGGCUUUCUGGUCUG
rnacentral:rRNA from 2 species